GACGAACGCUGGCGGCGUGCUUAACACAUGCAAGUCGAACGGAAAGGCCCUGCUUUUGUGGGGUGCUCGAGUGGCGAACGGGUGAGUAACACGUGAGUAACCUGCCCUUGACUUUGGGAUAACUUCAGGAAACUGGGGCUAAUACCGGAUAGGAGCUCCUGCUGCAUGGUGGGGGUUGGAAAGUUUCGGCGGUUGGGGAUGGACUCGCGGCUUAUCAGCUUGUUGGUGGGGUAGUGGCUUACCAAGGCUUUGACGGGUAGCCGGCCUGAGAGGGUGACCGGCCACAUUGGGACUGAGAUACGGCCCAGACUCCUACGGGAGGCAGCAGUGGGGAAUAUUGCACAAUGGGCGGAAGCCUGAUGCAGCAACGCCGCGUGCGGGAUGACGGCCUUCGGGCUGUAAACCGCUUUCGCCUGUGACGAAGCGUGAGUGACGGUAAUGGGUAAAGAAGCACCGGCUAACUACGUGCCAGCAGCCGCGGUGAUACGUAGGGUGCGAGCGUUGUCCGGAUUUAUUGGGCGUAAAGGGCUCGUAGGUGGUUGAUCGCGUCGGAAGUGUAAUCUUGGGGCUUAACCCUGAGCGUGCUUUCGGUACGGGUUGACUUGAGGAAGGUAGGGGAGAAUGGAAUUCCUGGUGGAGCGGUGGAAUGCGCAGAUAUCAGGAGGAACACCAGUGGCGAAGGGCGGUUCUCUGGGCCUUUCCUGACGCUGAGGAGCGAAAGCGUGGGGAGCGAACAGGCUUAGAUACCCUGGUAGUCCACGCUGUAAACGGUGGGUACUAGGUGUGGGGUCCAUUCCACGGGUUCCGUGCCGUAGCUAACGCUUUAAGUACCCCGCCUGGGGAGUACGGCCGCAAGGCUAAAACUCAAAGGAAUUGACGGGGCCCCGCACAAGCGGCGGAGCAUGCGGAUUAAUUCGAUGCAACGCGUAGAACCUUACCUGGGUUUGACAUGGAUCGGGAGCGCUCAGAGAUGGGUGUGCCUCUUUUGGGGUCGGUUCACAGGUGGUGCAUGGCUGUCGUCAGCUCGUGUCGUGAGAUGUUGGGUUAAGUCCCGCAACGAGCGCAACCCUUGUUCACUGUUGCCAGCACGUUAUGGUGGGGACUCAGUGGAGACCGCCGGGGUCAACUCGGAGGAAGGUGGGGAUGACGUCAAGUCAUCAUGCCCCUUAUGUCCAGGGCUUCACGCAUGCUACAAUGGCUGGUACAGAGAGUGGCGAGCCUGUGAGGGUGAGCGAAUCUCGGAAAGCCGGUCUCAGUUCGGAUUGGGGUCUGCAACUCGACCUCAUGAAGUCGGAGUCGCUAGUAAUCGCAGAUCAGCAACGCUGCGGUGAAUACGUUCCCGGG
rnacentral:rRNA from 1 species